AGAGUAAGCACACACUGGGGCAAAGAGGGAAUGGAGAACACUGAUCAAACAGUGAACAGCUCGGCUGCCUCUGCCUGUCAGGGAAUUUAAAUUGCAGAUGGGAUGGUGAACCCAUGCCCAGAGCAGGAGCAGCCCCUCUAGUGAGCACCAGCAUUGCUUAGCAACUAGGUUGGGAAGAACUUUAGGAAGCAGCAGAAAGUUCCACUCUGGAAAGUGCCCUUGAGCCAGGGCAUCUCCUGGGAACAGGGAAGGAGUGUCCCGGAAAGAAGCAGCAGCCAGGUUAGAGAUCUGCUCAAUCCAGGGUCAGGGGUAUGGCCAGGGGGUACAGUCAGCACCACUCUGCUCAGUCACCAUUGAGUGUGUCCUUCACCGAGGGACAAAAUGUCUGCCAGCCUCCAUGUAGUUUUUGACAUUCAUUGUUUUGUAGAGAGCUUUCAAAUGCAUGGUAUCUUCCCUAUGUACCCCCUCACACCUCACACACCAACAAGAAGUAGAAAUGGAAAUGAAUAAUACCAACACCCUAACA
rnacentral:lncRNA from 1 species